AUGUUAGGAUCGGCUGGCUCAUCCUCAUCAUCCGAAAAGAAAAUAGAGACAAAACAGAUUUGUUUCAAUGACAUAUCUAAUCAGACUGAAAUUGAUGUCGAAGACACGAUCAUUCACAUCAAUUGAAGCAGGCAGGAAGGGCACGGAAGCUACCGUUUAACGAAUGCAAUGCAAGCAAGGUAG
rnacentral:rRNA from 1 species